rnacentral:rRNA from 1 species
UGUACACACCGCCCGUCACACCAUGAGAGCUGGCAAUACCCGAAGUCCGUGAGGUAACCGUAAGGAGCCAGCGGCCGAAGGUAGGGUUAGUGAUUGGGGUGAAGUCGUAACAAGGUAGCCGUAGGAGAACCUGCGGCUGGAUCACCUCCUU